UACGUAGGGGCUAGCGUUAUCCGGAUUUACUGGGCGUAAAGGGUGCGUAGGCGGUCUUUCAAGUCAGGAGUGAAAGGCUACGGCUCAACCGUAGUAAGCUCUUGAAACUGUAAGACUUGAGUGCAGGAGAGGAGAGUGGAAUUCCUAGUGUAGCGGUGAAAUGCGUAGAUAUUAGGAGGAACACCAGUUGCGAAGGCGAUUCUCUGGACUGUAACUGACGCUGAGGCUCGAAAGCGUGGGGAGCAAACAGGAUUAGAUACCCUGGUAGU
rnacentral:rRNA from 1 species